GGCAGCAGUCUGUAGCAAUACAGAUGCUGGCGACCGGCACACGGGUGCGGAACACGUACAGAACCUUCCUUCGAGCGGGGAAUAGCCCAGAGAAAUUUGGAUUAAUACCCCAUAGUAUAUUGAAGAGGCAUCUCUUUAAUAUUAAAGAUUUAUCACUUGAAGAUGGCUGUGCAGCUGAUUAGGUAGUUGGCGGGGUAACGGCCCACCAAGCCUGCGAUCAGUAACUGGUGUGAGAGCACGACCAGUCACACGGGCACUGAGACACGGGCCCGACUCCUACGGGAGGCAGCAGUAAGGAAUAUUGGUCAAUGGACGCAAGUCUGAACCAGCCAUGCCGCGUGGAGGAUGAAGGUCCUCUGGAUUGUAAACUUCUUUUAUCUGGGACGAAAAAGGGUCUUUCUAGAUCAACUGACGGUACCAGAUGAAUAAGCACCGGCUAACUCCGUGCCAGCAGCCGCGGUAAUACGGAGGGUGCAAGCGUUAUCCGGAUUCACUGGGUUUAAAGGGUGCGUAGGUGGGUUGGUAAGUCAGUGGUGAAAUCCCCGAGCUUAACUUGGGAACUGCCAUUGAUACUAUCAGUCUUGAAUAUUGUGGAGGUUAGCGGAAUAUGUCAUGUAGCGGUGAAAUGCUUAGAUAUGACAUAAAACACCAAUUGCGAAGGCAGCUGGCUACGCAUAUAUUGACACUGAGGCACGAAAGCGUGGGGAUCAAACAGGAUUAGAUACCCUGGUAGUCCACGCCCCUAACUAUGGAUACUCGACAUCAGCGAUACACUGUUGGUGUCUG
rnacentral:rRNA from 1 species